rnacentral:rRNA from 1 species
CCUACGGGUGGCCGCAGUGAGGAAUAUUGGUCAAUGGGCUUACGCCUGAACCAGCCAAGUCGCGUGAGGUAAGACUGCCCUAUGGGUUGUAAACCUCUUUUGUCAGGGGGCAACGCCGGCUACGUGUAGCCGGACUGAGAGUACCUGACGACAAAGCAUCGGCUAACUCCGUGCCAGCAGCCGCGGUCAUACGGAGGAUGCGAGCGUUAUCCGGAUUUAUUGGGUUUAAAGGGUGCGUAGGCGGAAGGCCACGUCAGCGGUAAAAUCGCGGGGCUCAACCUCGCUCCGCCGUUGAAACUGGCGGUCUUGAGUGUGCGAGAAGUAUGCGGAAUGCGUGGUGUAGCGGUGAAAUGCAUAGAUAUCACGCAGAAUUCCGAUUGCGAAGGCAGCAUACCGGCGCCCAACUGACGCUGAAGCACGAAAGCGUGGGUAUCGAACAGGAUUAGAUACCCGGGUAGUC